CCACCGUUUCCCAUACGAUCACCGAAAUUAAGCAACGCCGAAUCCGGUCAGUAACUAGAUCGGUGAUCGCUUGGGAGUACCAGGUGCUGUAA